CACCACAUCAAAAAGCUUCUUUAAUAAUACCAUGUCAUUGAUAUCCCCUUCCACUAUAAAAACCCCAGAUCGUUCUAAUACCUUUUGUCGGGCUCUUUUCAGGCUGGUAUCGUAGUAGUGAUUGAAAUUGUCGAGGCCAAGAACGCCGUCGCCCCGACGCUUCAGCGCGACCGAGACAUGGGUUCCCACAAAGCCAGCAGCACCAGUGACCAAAACGGUUAGGCCAGCGCGUACCUUGGGACGCGCGGAUUUGACGACCUUUUUCUCCCAGAGAGGGUCCCCAGGUGGAUCGGUUUCGACUUGGUGGGGAGGAGAAGGAGAGGGAGGAGAGAGGAGGAAGAAGAAGAGAAAGAGAAUAAGGAAAAGAAACGAAUAGAAAGUGAGUUUGGAGAGAGAGGAGUGCAAUCGGAGAGAACGGUGAUGAGGGUGAAGGUAAGUCGCGGAUUUGUCCGGUUUAAGCUUGCCUGGUGUGGAAGGUGGUGUAGUAUCAAGGAGUGACGACAUAUUAGUUACAAAAAAUUAAGGAAACCCACCACUUGGGAAUCUGGCGUUUGCGGUGGCGACGGUGACGGGUGGUUGUGGCGGUGAUCCUCGGUGGAAUGAAUGGGAUUUUUGGGUUGAAUUGUUUGGAGUUUGGGUUUGCGUCAAAGCGGCUGCUUUUGUGAGGUCAGGUGUGG
rnacentral:misc_RNA from 1 species